rnacentral:rRNA from 1 species
UACGUAGGGGGCAAGCGUUGUCCGGAUUUAUUGGGCGUAAAGAGCGUGUAGGCGGCCAUACAGGUCAGCUGUGAAAACUCGAGGCUCAACCUCGAGACGUCGGUUGAAACCGUAUGGCUAGAGUCCGGAAGAGGAGAGUGGAAUUCCCAGUGUAGAGGUGAAAUUCGUAGAUAUUGGGAAGAACACCAGUGGCGAAGGCGGCUCUCUGGACCGUAACUGACGCUGAGGCGCGAAAGCGUGGGGAGCAAACAGG